rfam:Felis catus isolate Cinnamon breed Abyssinian chromosome C1, whole genome shotgun sequence.
GCCUGGGUGGCUCAGUCGGUUAAGCGUCCGACUUCAGCUCAGGUCAUGAUCUCAUGGUUCGUGGGUUUGAGCCCCACAUCGGGCU